UAACCUGCCCAAGAGAUCGGGAUAACACCUGGAAACAGAUGCUAAUACCGGAUAACAACAGAUGAUGCCUAUCAACUGUUUAAAAGANGGUUCUGCUAUCACUCUUGGAUGGACCUGCGGUGCAUUAGCUAGUUGGUAGGGUAACGGCCUACCAAGGCGAUGAUGCAUAGCCGAGUUGAGAGACUGAUCGGCCACAUUGGGACUGAGACACGGCCCAAACUCCUACGGGAGGCAGCAGC
rnacentral:rRNA from 1 species